rnacentral:rRNA from 1 species
CAGCCGUAAACUAUGCGCGUUAGGUGUAUCGGUGACCACGAGUCACCGAGGUGCCGAAGGGAAACCGUGAAACGUGCCGCCUGGGAAGUACGGUCGCAAGGCUGAAACUUAAAGGAAUUGGCGGGGGAGCACCACAACAGGUGGAGCCUGCGGUUUAAUUGGACUCAACGCCGGGAAGCUCACCGGAUAGGACAGCAGAAUGAUUGCCGGGCUGAAGACUCUGCAUGACUAGCUGAGAGGAGGUGCAUGGCGGUAGACGUCU